UUCAGUCACCUUGCGCCAGCUCCGUAAUCGCCUGUUUCAAGAAAACUCUGUUCUCAGUUCACUCCCCAUCAAUUCUCUGAGUAGGAACAAUGAAGUUGACCUGCUCUUUCUUUCUGAACUGCAAGUGCUACAUGAUAUUUCAAGCUUGCUGUCUCGUCAUAAGCAUCUAGCCAAGGAUCAUUCUCCUGAUUUAUAUUCACUGGAGCUGGCAGGUUUGGAUGAAAUUGGGAAGCGUUAUGGGGAAGACUCUGAACAAUUCAGAGAUGCUUCUAAGAUCCUUGUUGACGCUCUGCAAAAGUUUGCAGAUGACAUGUACAGUCUUUAUGGUGGGAAUGCAGUGGUAGAGUUAGUCACUGUCAAGUCAUUUGACACCUCCCUCAUUAGGAAGACAAGGACUAUCCUUGAGGCAAAACAAGCGGUGAGUAUAUUUUGAGAUCCUGCUUUAAAACUGUAAAAUUAACUAAUU
rnacentral:sRNA from 1 species